rnacentral:rRNA from 1 species
AGAUUGAACGCUGGCGGCAGGCCUAACACAUGCAAGUCGAGCGGUAGAGAGGUGCUUGCAUCUCUUGAGAGCGGCGGACGGGUGAGUAAUGCCUAGGAAUCUGCCUAGUGGUGGGGGAUAACGUUCGGAAACGGACGCUAAUACCGCAUACGUCCUACGGGAGAAAGCGGGGGACCUUCGGGCCUCGCGCCAUUAGAUGAGCCUAGGUCGGAUUAGCUAGUUGGUGAGGUAAUGGCUCACCAAGGCGACGAUCCGUAACUGGUCUGAGAGGAUGAUCAGUCACACUGGAACUGAGACACGGUCCAGACUCCUACGGGAGGCAGCAGUGGGAAUAUUGGACAAUGGGCGAAAGCCUGAUCCAGCCAUGCCGCGUGUGUGAAGAAGGUCUUCGGAUUGAAAGCACGUUUAAGUGGGAGUAAGGUUAGUAACUUAAGUACGUUGACUAACGUUUGACGUUACGAC